rnacentral:rRNA from 1 species
AGUGAACGCUGGCGGUAGGCCUAACACAUGCAAGUCGAACGGCAGCACAGGAAGAUCUUGCUCUUACGGGUGGCGAGUGGCGGGCGGGUGAGGAGUACGUCGGAAGCUACUUUUUCGGGGGGAAUAACGUAGGAAAACUUAUGCUAAUACAUAAAAAGACUUACGACAGGAAUCAAGGGAGCUUGAGACCUUGGCAGAACGAAAGAAUCGCUGUCGGAUGGGUUAGUUGGCGGGGGAAAGGCCCACCAAGGCGACGAUCCGUAGCUGGUCUGAGAGGAUGUCCAGCCCCACUGGACCUGGGACCCGGUCCAGCUUCCUCCGGGAGCAGCCAGUGGGGAAUUUUGGACAAUGGGCGCAAGCCUGCCCCGCCCCUCCCCCGUGGGUGAAGAAGUCUUUCGGGUUGUAAAGCCCUUUUGUUGGGAAAGACAAGCAGCAGGUUAAUACCCUGCUGUUCUGACGGUACCCACCGAAUAAGCACCGGCUAACUUCGUG